GGCGACGGAUCGGGGCCGCGGCGGGCCCGGGAAGCGAGGCACACCGGGGCACACGGCCCCGGGGAGCAGCAGACGGCGAGGGGACCGAGGCGGACGGACGGACGGAGAGGGGCACCGACGGGGUGCGGCCGCGCGGGGCCGACACCACGCAACCGGUGGCGGAGGUGGGGUGGCCGCGCGCCACCGCGAGGGGAACGGCCCAAAGCGACCCGGCGGAGGGGACGCGAGUCGGCCGCCGGGGCCCACCGCGGGAUCUCACCGCCAGAGGCCCUCCCGGCACAGGGGCGGUCCCGCGGCACCACCCGGGACGACGACGGACUGGCGCCCCCACCCUCGCG
rnacentral:misc_RNA from 1 species